rnacentral:rRNA from 1 species
UACGUAGGGGGCAAGCGUUGUCCGGAAUCAUUGGGCGUAAAGAGCGUGUAGGCGGCUUGGUAAGUCCGCUGUGAAAGCCCAGGGCUCAACCCUGGAAUGCCGGUGGAAACUGUCAAGCUUGAGUCCGGAAGAGGCGAGUGGAAUUCCUGGUGUAGCGGUGAAAUGCGCAGAUAUCAGGAGGAACACCGGUGGCGAAGGCAGCUCGCUGGGACGGUGCUGACGCUGAGACGCGAAAGCGUGGGGAGCAAACAGG